GCAUGGCUCUGUUGGUUAAUGCAUGGUGCUGAUAAUGCCAAGGUUGCAGGUUCAAUCCCUGUGUGGAACA